rfam:Dipodomys ordii contig_11814, whole genome shotgun sequence.
GGUGGCUCAGUGGUAGAGUGCUUGCCUUGUAUGCCUGAGGCCCUGGGUUCGAUUCCUCAGCACCA